CGAGCGAGACCUUCGGGUCUAGCGGCGGACGGGUUAGUAACGCGUGGGAACGUGCCCUUCUCUACGGAAUAGUCCUGGGAAACUGGGUUUAAUACCGUAUACGCCCUUUUGGGGAAAGAUUUAUCGGAGAGGGAUCGGCCCGCGUUGGAUUAGGUAGUUGGUGGGGUAAUGGCCUACCAAGCCUACGAUCCAUAGCUGGUUUGAGAGGAUGAUCAGCAACACUGGGACUGAGACACGGCCCAG
rnacentral:rRNA from 1 species